rnacentral:rRNA from 1 species
GGGAUUAGAUACCCCACUAUGCUUAGCCGUAACUUGAAUUACACCAACUAACGCCGGGGAAUUACGAGCCAUGCUUAAAACCCAAAGGACUUGACGGUACCCCAUCCACCUAGAGGAGCCUGUUCUACAACCGAUAGUCCCCGUUACACCUCACCUUCGCUAGAUUCAACAGCCUGUAUACCUCCGUCGCAAGCUUACUGUGUGAACACAAAAUAGUGAGCCUAACUAGCCAACCUUAAACACGUCAGGUCAAGGUGCAGCCCAUGUGAAGGGAGCAAUGGGCUACAAUUUCUAACCUAGAACAAACUAACAGCCGCAUGAAACUGCGGCCCCAAGGCGGAUCUAGCAGUAAGAGCGGAGCAGAGAGCCCCUCUUAACCUGGACCUGGGUUAUGUACAAACCGCCCGUCACCCUCUUCAACAUUAUAUUCCCAAUAUUUAAUAUUUGACCCAACCCGAGAAGAGGCAAGUCGUAACAUGGUAAGCGUACUGGAAAGUGCGCUUUGAAGAA